rnacentral:rRNA from 1 species
UACAGAGGUGGCAAGCGUUGUUCGGAAUUACUGGGCGUAAAGCGCACGUAGGCGGAUUGUUAAGUCGGGGGUGAAAUCCCGGGGCUCAACCCCGGAACUGCCUUCGAUACUGGCGAUCUUGAGGUCGGGGGAGGUGAGUGGAAUGGCGAGUGUAGAGGUGAAAUUCGUAGAUAUUCGCCGGAACACCAGUGGCGAAGGCGGCUCACUGGCCCGAUACUGACGCUGAGGUGCGAAAGCGUGGGGAGCAAACAGG